GAUGAACGCUGGCGGCGUGCCUAAUACAUGCAAGUCGAGCGAACGGACGAGAAGCUUGCUUCUCUGAUGUUAGCGGCGGACGGGUGAGUAACACGUGGAUAACCUACCUAUAAGACUGGGAUAACUUCGGGAAACCGGAGCUAAUACCGGAUAAUAUUUUGAACCGCAUGGUUCAAAAGUGAAAGACGGUCUUGCUGUCACUUAUAGAUUGAUCCGCGCUGCAUUAGCUAGUUGGUAAGGUAACGGCUUACCAAGGCAACGAUGCAUAGCCGACCUGAGAGGGUGAUCGGCCACACUGGAACUGAGACACGGUCCAGACUCCUACGGGAGGCAGCAGUAGGGAAUCUUCAGCAAUGGGCGAAAGCCUGACGGAGCAACGCCGCGUGAGUGAUGAAGGUCUUCGGAUCGUAAAACUCUGUUAUUAGGGAAGAACAUAUGUGUAAGUAACUGUGCACAUCUUGACGGUACCUAAUCAGAAAGCCACGGCUAACUAAGUG
rnacentral:rRNA from 1 species